AAUGCAGGUUGUUCUAUCGCUGUUCCGAUUGAUCGGAAGAGAGGAAAGUCCGGGCAACGCAGGGCAUCCCGCUUUCUAACGGAAAGGGAUUGAGGAAUGAAAACCUGAAUCACGGAUUAGUGCAACAGAAAAUAUACCUCCUGAUGUAAAGUUGGGGAAGGGUGAAAACGUGCGGUAAGAGCGCACGAGCAUUGCAGGCGACUGCAGUGGUUUGUAAACCCCGGGAGUUGAAAGACCAAAUAGGCUAACGCAUGUAGGGCUGCCCGUCCGAUGUUAGUGGGUAGGUCGUUAGAGAUAAACGGCAACGUUUAUACUGGAUUAAUGAUAGAAGUUCUGAGUAAUCAGAAAACAGAACCCGGCUUACAGACCUGCAUUUUUA
rnacentral:RNase_P_RNA from 2 species